GAUGAACGCUGGCGGCGUGCCUAACACAUGCAAGUCGAGCGAUUCUCUUCGGAGAAGAGCGGCGGACGGGUGAGUAACGCGUGGGUAACCUGCCCUGUACACACGGAUAACAUACCGAAAGGUAUGCUAAUACGAGAUAAUAUGCUUUUAUCGCAUGGUAGAAGCAUCAAAGCUUUUUGCGGUACAGGAUGGACCCGCAUCUGAUUAGCUAGUUGGUAAGGUAACGGCUUACCAAGGCGACGAUCAGUAGCCGACCUGAGAGGGUGAUCGGCCACAUUGGAACUGAGACACGGUCCAAACUCCUACGGGAGGCAGCAGUGGGGAAUAUUGCACAAUGGGCGAAAGCCUGAUGCAGCAACGCCGCGUGAGCGAUGAAGGCCUGGUCGUAAGACGUCUGUCUCAAGAAGAAGUAAUAGAGGUACGUUAAGGUAGGAAGACCCGGGCCUAACGUAACCGUUCGACCAGACAGCCGACCGGAACGGAAGUACGUACGUACGCCG
rnacentral:rRNA from 1 species